UGUCCUGGCUUCUAUUGCUGACAAGUGUUGCCUGUGCCCGGGACUCGCUGCCUGACCUUACCUGCCCUUGAGGGUUGGAGGUGAGGUGGCGCAGACUCAACACACAGACUCCGAGAGCAGACUUCUCCUGAGAAGUCUGCUAUAACACUCUCACAGGCACCAGGGACUCAAUUAUUGAAGUUCUGCACGAAGCUGUCAUCUUUCUGCGUCAAGCACCCUGCUCUUUCUGGAAGUCUCACAACUUGGAAUGCUGUUCUCUCGUGAAGAACACAGCGUGAGGAGCGCCCACUGCACCUACGCUGCCUUGGACUUGGGAAAUUAAGAUCUAGCUCUGUGGUUCUCAACCUCCCUGGUGCUGCAACCCUUUAAUACAGCUCCUCACGUGUGGUUCCCCUCCCCAACCAUAAAAUCAUAUUGCUGCUACUUCAUAACUGUAGUUCUGCUACUGUUAGGAAUUGUAAUGUAAAUACCUGAGAUGCAACCAUCCACAGAGCGGAGACCCACAGGUUGCACAGUGUGGGUGUAGAUGAAAGCAGAGUUUCGGGGUCAAGUCAUAACAUUCGAGUUGAGUGUCACCGGCACCUGCUAAGAAGUUAUUUAUAGCUAAUCUUUUUGGACCCUUCUGUGUUAAAGAAGAAACAUUACCAUCUACUCUUGUGGAGUUGUGGAGAGAACUAAAUUUCAUAAUGGUAGUUUUCAAGGCACGUUACUCUGAUAUGUGCAACACUGGCACAUUAUUU
rnacentral:lncRNA from 1 species